CUCAAGUGACAUUGAGGAGAAACUGUGCAAUUAUCCAGCUGUACUGACACCAUUAGGGAGCUUGUUCUGGAUCACAGAUCUGGGAGAUUAAGUUUUACUGCUUGAAGGAUACCCAUAUUCCAAAGAUUUACUUCAGUUUUCUGAAUGUGUUUUCCAGUAAAUAGCCAUUUGGAAAUGGGAACCAACUUUCUCUGGAAAUGGACUGGUCAAGCCCUUCAGUCCACUUGAAAACACUUUCCUAUUUCUGCCUGUAAUGCAGCCUUUCAGCCCCCUUCAAAAGUUGCAGCAUGGCUGGGUAGUACUCACACAUCAGGCCAUUUUCCAUCUGUGCAGUGAAAUGGAGUGCUAGUGCCCGAUGUGUUGGAAACUUCACUGCUUUUCACUUCUGUUUGGCUUUUUACCUUUUGCUGUUCUUUACCCUGAAUAAAAUUCCGACUUGUCCUGAAGUAUUUAUCAGUUAAAUGUGGCAUUGUAAUCAAUUUUAUGAGUUUUUAAGCCAAAGUGAAUAUCAAAUUGCAGCUGAGGGCACUCAGCACCGUACAGGGUGGGGCCCACAGUGAAAGCUGACAUUUGAGAAAUAAAUGUUGUAUAAUAGCUGUAAGGAUUUGUGAGAUUUCAUUGUGAAGUUUUGUGUGAACUGGUGAAAAAUUGUCAUGGAUAGAGUAAUGCACUUCACUCACAAGAAAGAAGAAACAAUGCAUUUUGUUUCUAUCAGGCAGUUUGUUAACAAAGUUCUGUGGUAAAUGUGACUGCUUUAACAAAAAUCCAUGGCAAUGUACAUGUGAUUAUUUACUGCUUGUGAACAGGGUC